GACGAACGCUGGCGGCGUGCCUAAUACAUGCAAGUAGAACGCUGAAGAGAGGAGCUUGCUCUUCUUGGAUGAGUUGCGAACGGGUGAGUAACGCGUAGGUAACCUGCCUAGUAGCGGGGGAUAACUAUUGGAAACGAUAGCUAAUACCGCAUAAAAUUGAUUAUUGCAUGAUAAUUAAUUGAAAGAUGCAACUGCAUCACUACCAGAUGGACCUGCGUUGUAUUAGCUAGUUGGUGAGGUAACGGCUCACCAAGGCGACGAUACAUAGCCGACCUGAGAGGGUGAUCGGCCACACUGGGACUGAGACACGGCCCAGACUCCUACGGGAGGCAGCAGUAGGGAAUCUUCGGCAAUGGGGGGAACCCUGACCGAGCAACGCCGCGUGAGUGAAGAAGGUUUUCGGAUCGUAAAGCUCUGUUGUAAGAGAAGAACGGGUGUGAGAGUGGAAAGUUCACACUGUGACGGUAUCUUACCAGAAAGGGACGGCUAACUACGUG
rnacentral:rRNA from 1 species